rnacentral:ncRNA from 1 species
AAUGGAAAUGGUGGGACAAAAAAUGGUAUAAUCUCGUAAUGAUUACAAUAUCAUGACGGGUUCACUGAGCUGAUAUCCAUCUCGGCAAUGACUUAUGGAUGGAUGAGCCAUCAUGUAACUUGGAAAGAAACCUGUUAGAUUUUUUUUUCACAUUCAAUAUUAGCCAAAUGCCUCGUCAUCUAAUUAGUGAUGCACAUGAAUGGAUGAACGAAAUUCCCGCUGUCCGUACCUACUAUCCAGCGAAACCACAGCGAAGGGAACGGGCUUGGUAGCAUCAGCGGUGAAAGAAGACCCUGUUGAGCUUGACUCUAGUCUGGCGCUGUGAAGAGACAUGAGAGAUGUAGAAUAAGUGGGAGGUCGCGUGCACACUUGGUGCAGCAGGGCAACCCGCCUGCUGCUGUCCCGGCCGUCGGUGAAAUACCAUUACUCUGAUCGUUUUUUCACUUACCUGGUGAGUCGGGGGGGCAAGCCCCGAGCGGGGCUCUUGCUUCUGACACCAAGUGCUCAUCAUGCGCCAGGCACGACCAGCUCCAGGGACAGCAGCAGGUGGGGAUUUUGACUGGGGCAGUACACCUGUUUAAAGCGUAACUCACGUGUCCUAAGGUGAGCUGAGGGAGGACAGAAAGCUCCCGUGGAGCAGAAGGGCAAAAGCUCGCUUGAUCUUGAUUUUCAGUACGAAUACAGACCAUGAAAGUGGGGCCUCACGAUCCUUCUGGCUUUUUGGGUUUUAAGGUGGCAGAAAAGUUACCACAGGGAUAACUGGCUUGUGGCAGCCAAGCGUUCAUAACGACAUCGCUUUUUGAUCCUUCGAUGUCUGCUCUUCCUAUCAUUGUGAAGCAGAAUUCACCAAGCAUUGCAUUGUUCACUCACUAAUAGGGAACGUGAGCUAGGUUGAGACCAUUGUGAGGUUAUUUCAUGGUAAUUCCUCAUUC